rnacentral:rRNA from 1 species
GAUGAACGCUAGCUACAUGCUUAACACAUGCAAGUCGAGCGACCGGCGCACGAGUGAGUAACACGUAUCCAACCUGCCCUUUACUCGUGUAUAGCCUUUCGAAAGAAUAAUACCUCCCCUAUUGACAGGAUGUGGAUGCGUUCCAUUAUGUUGUUGGUGAGGUAACGUCCCACUACGCCGUCGAUGGAUAGGGGUUCUGAGAGGAAGGUCCCCCACAGUGGAACUGUGACACGUUCCAAACUCAUACUGGAGGCAGAAGUGAGGAUUAGUGGUCAAUGGGCGUUAGCCUGAACCAGUCAAGUAGCGUGAAGGAUGAAGGCUUAUGGGUCGUAAACUUCUUUUAUAUAAUAAUAUGUAUUAUAUGAAUAAGGAUCGGCUAACUACGUGCCAGCAGCCGCGGUAAUAC